CGGCAAGAUAGAGGAGCCGGUGGGAGGAUGGCGGUUAGAAUUUAUGGCCGCUUUAUCACUUUACCGGCCUUGCCGCGUCUCCUUUAGCCGUGAGGAGGGCAGGAUCUCACGAUGAACUUUGGCACUCGACUACGCUGCACUCGACGAACGAUUCAGUAGACGUUAUCUGUUAAAUAUUAUCGUGGAUUUCAACAGAAUCGUUAUGACUUGUUGUUGAACGAAACGUUGUUGGACGUCCUUUCGUCACAUAUCGUAUUAUACAAAUAAAUCAACGUGAAUGAUGACGCUCUAAUAUCACUACAUGCCAUUGUGACCUAUUGCUUAAAUGGAUGACGAUUCAAAGUUGUGAAGAUACAAACCAGUUCUGGUACCACUAAAACAUUUCUGUUAUAAUAACAGGCACACUGCAUUUUUGCCUCAUCAAAAAUAUCGGAGGAAAUUUAAAGAAGAAUAAAUAAAUAAAUAAAUGAAACAGAAAUAUACAAAAUACAAAAAUGCUUUUCUACCAACAAAUCAAAAUCGGAUCACGUCGGAGUCAGUUGUCAAGGGUUGAACGGCAUAGCGAUAUGAUGCACAUGGACAGUCGUCGAACAAAGCCACAAUCAAACUAUGCAAUCGUUAUGUUGUUCAUUUGGAUCGCGAUUCAAAACUGGCGCCUUUUCAAGGAGACCGGCAACCAUUAGACUACCCCCGUGACAUUCGAGGUAGAGUAUGAUGGUUCCAUCGAGUAGGUAGUGCCUAGACGGGGCUCCACCCAGCACUUAGUUUACGUCGCGAUUGCGGCCCCGAACACGACCGUUUCCAGGGUACAGUCACGCCCCUGCCAUGCGAGUACUGUACUCCCAUUCGCUGGCCCAUAUCUCAUCUGGUCCAUCGCAUUAGCCUAAUCUGCCAGCAACGUGAACGGAAAAAAAAAAGGAGAAAAAGGUAAAAAAAAAAAAAAAUGCGGCCAUAUCGACGUUGCCACUGACGGGAGAAAUCGCGGCGAGGUGCUGCCACCUGGCAGGAUCGGGAGGUUGACCGGUUGUCGAAUCGAUCUCUUUUUUUUUUCCUCCCCGCAAGCAACGUUGUCUCGCUCUCAUUUCGACUAGUAGUUCGAUUUGAUUGUUCGCGUGUCGCUAGCGUUAAUAUUUUCCUGUAACAGUUUUGCAGUUUGUUGUUCGUAUCCUGUUUGCGUCGGCUAGAAACAAGAAUUUCUCCCAUGGCCGUUUGAUUCAUAAAAAGGACCAUUGGAUGAUGGUUUAUUUCAUCAUCGGAAAUCCAUUGCAGUUGACGUCACGAUGCCGAGCUGCUGACGAUGCUGUAAAUUCUGGACAGUUGCAGGAUUGAUAGAACUUGAAAAGCGUGAAAGUUGCGGACAAUUUUACCCUAAGAGGAAAUAUUUUUAAUUCAAACAGCCAACGCUUAUAAUUCAACUUUAUAAAAUACCGCGUACUUAAAAAAGUGCAAUUCUGCAUUAUCGCUCUAUUUGCAGCCAUUGGAAAAGGCACGUAAAAAGGAAUACCCAACAACCGAGGGUUGAGUAAUGGAUUAUAUUCCUUCCUGAUCGUGGGUAUUAAAAAAUGGUAAAUGCUCUUAAUGACGGCAUUAAUAAUUGUAUUCAUCGUACUGCCAGUAUUGACCUGAAGACACCCAUACGUGGCACGCCCGCAGAAUACCCUUGUAACGAUCCGGUUCGCAUUCAUCUGGGCGGAGAGAUCGUUUGUGAAUGAGCGAACAUUCAAUGGCCGCACUUUUGAUCUCGGCGUUAUUAAUUAUCCGCAAGUAGCUGCGAACGUUUGGAUCCUUUUUCCCGUUCGCCUUGAAUUUCGUAAAUCAUCUAAACCACCCCGAUUCUUGACGGGUUCAUCGCCACCGACCGAUCGUGUGAUUUAGACGUGUCUAGUCUAUAAGUGUCUCGUCUAUGAUAUAAUUUAUUAUUACUGUAAGA
rnacentral:misc_RNA from 1 species